GACGUAGGGUGCAAGCGUUGUCCGGAUUUAUUGGGCGUAAAGAGCUCGUAGGCGGCUUGUUGCGUCGACUGUGAAAACCCGGGGCUCAACCCCGGGCCUGCAUUCGAUACGGGCAGACUAGAGUUCGGUAGGGGAGUCUGGAAUUCCUGGUGUAGCGGUGAAAUGCGCAGAUAUCAGGAGGAACACCGGUGGCGAAGGCGGGACUCUGGGCCGAUACUGACGCUGAGGAGCGAAAGCGUGGGGAGCGAACAGG
rnacentral:rRNA from 1 species